ACAUAUAUAUCUGUAAAUACAGAUAUUUAUAUGACUGUAAAUACAGAUACAUAUUUGUAUUUACAGAUAUAUAUGAG
rnacentral:pre_miRNA from 14 species